rnacentral:rRNA from 1 species
CGAGUGGACUUGGGAUUUUUGGAAGGAGCCCUCCACAAGAUAGGAUUCGACCAGAGAUGGAUAGGAUGGGUCAUGACAUGCGUUAAGUCAGUGAAAUACACUGUUAGGUGCAAUGGGGUGCUUCUUGAGCCUAUUACCCCCUCACGAGGCCUAAGACAAGGGGACCCCCUGAGUCCAUACUUGUUUUUGUUCGUCGCUGAUGGGCUCGCGAGUCUGCUCAAGAAAGAAGUUGAAGAAGGUAAUAUAACCCCCUUAAAAGUGGCUCGGAGCAGCCCGGGCAUAUCUAACCUUCUUUUCGCCGAUGAUAGUCUGUUAUUAUUCAAAGCUUCAACGGAUCAGGCUAGGAAAGUUAAAAGACGCCCUCACCCUGUUCCAAAAGGGUACGGGGCAAUUGUUGAGCCAAAGCAAAUGCUCUCUCCUUGUCAGUGA